rnacentral:rRNA from 1 species
AACGUAGGUGGCAAGCGUUAUCCGGAAUUACUGGGCGUAAAGGGUGUGCAGGCGGGGUUGCAAGUGGUGUAUGAAAUAUCCCAGCUUAACUGGGAGGGGUUAUGCCAGACUGCAACUCUAGAGGACGAGAGAGGGGGGUGGAAUUCCGGGUGUAGUGGUGAAAUGCGUAGAGAUCCGGAGGAACCCAGAGGCGAAGGCGGCCCCUGGCUCGUACCUGACGCUCAGCCACGAAAGCAUGGGGAGCGAACGGG